CUACCGGGUCGGUGCGGGACUUUCUGCCCCGGACAACCUCCACGACCACGGCGCUCCUGGGUGCGAAGAGCCGGGCAGCCUGGACGCUCCGCCCGCCGAUUACCUGGAACAUGUCGGCGUCAAAAAUGUGGUAACAGGGUUCGUUGGGAUGCCUGGUGUCAGCCGUGUGACUGAUGAUCCUGCUGAGGCAAGGCACCAACACAUUCCUGCUACAGUCAGCUUGCCAGGAACAUGGAAUGAUGGGAAAUGGUGCAGUGCCGCUGUGUGUCGUUCCUGUGACACUGAGAGCUUGCAACAAAGGAAUCCAGCAAGGGUUGAGAAGAGACUGCAGUGAACCAGAUGCCUCCCCAUUGUGACGGCUUGGUUGUAGGACAAUCCACUCUCCCUCAUCGUCGUCUUCCUGCUGCACCACUGGUUGGUCUGUAUUGUCCCUACUGGCACUGGCAUCUGAAGAGAGCGAACAAAUGGACCUGGUUUACUGUCAACACCAAACAGGGCUUCAACAGCUUCCUCCAACGUGGCAUGUGUUUUCAAGGCCUCAGAGCUCUGUGCCCAGGUGAAUCCCAUUUCCUAAAAUGGAAGUCCAAAAACAACCUCCUAAGCUGACAU